AUUGAACGCUGGCGGCAUGCCUUACACAUGCAAGUCGAACGGUAACAGGUCUUCGGAUGCUGACGAGUGGCGAACGGGUGAGUAAUACAUCGGAACGUGCCUAGUAGUGGGGGAUAACUACUCGAAAGAGUGGCUAAUACCGCAUGAGAUCUACGGAUGAAAGCAGGGGAUCGCAAGACCUUGUGCUACUAGAGCGGCCGAUGGCAGAUUAGGUAGUUGGUGGGAUAAAAGCUUACCAAGCCGACGAUCUGUAGCUGGCCUGAGAGGAAGAUCAGCCACACUGGGAAUGAGAAACGGCCCAGAAUCCUACGGGAGGCAGCAGUGGGGAAUUUUGGACAAUGGGCGCAAGCCUGAUCCAGCAAUGCCGCGUGCAGGAUGAAGGCCUUCGGGUUGUAAACUGCUUUUGUACGGAACGAAAAGCCCCGGGUUAAUACCCUGGGGUCAUGACGGUACCGUAAGAAUAAGCACCGGCUAACUACGUGCCAGCAGCCGCAGUAA
rnacentral:rRNA from 1 species